ACGUAAAGGCCCCUUUCCUGUCGAGAAUGACGGCGCUCCCCGCGUAAAGGGCAGGAUGCCGCAUCAAACAUUACAUAAAAUGAGAUGACAUGACAUCAUCACAUCAUCGGCUACACACCAUUAUUAGCCCCAGGGUGUGUUACGUUAAUAUUUAUUGCCAUCAUCAGACGCCAGAAAAUAAGCCCAACUAUCAUUUCGUCACAACAUAAAACGAUGGGCCUUUUAUUGAGUCUUCAAGGAAAAAGUAAUCUGAAAGUGAAAUGUGCCACACUUUCUUGUGCUGAUGCAAAUCUCAGCUCUGCAGAUCAUCUUCGUAAAAAAAAAUGAGUCAACUGUUUUCUCCUGGUGUACUGGUUUGAGACCGUGAGCUCCAACAAAAAAAAAAAUACAGAA